rnacentral:misc_RNA from 1 species
GCCUCAAUGAAGAUAAACACCGAUCCAUCGAGUGACAUCUUGCUGAUAGUUGUACGUCAGUCGGAGAGGU